rnacentral:rRNA from 1 species
GACGGACGCUGGCGGCGUGCUUAACACAUGCAAGUCGAGCGGUAAGGCCCUUUCGGGGGUACACGAGCGGCGAACGGGUGAGUAACACGUGGGUGACCUGCCCUCAGCUCUGGGAUAAGCCUGGGAAACCGGGUCUAAUACCGGAUAUGACUCCAUGACGCAUGUUGUGGGGUGGAAAGCCUUGUGCGGCUGAGGAUGGGCCCGCGGCCUAUCAGCUUGUUGGUGGGGUGANGGCCUACCAAGGCGACGACGGGUAGCCGGCCUGAGAGGGCGACCGGCCACACUGGGACUGGAGACACGGCCCAGACUCCGUACGGGAGGCAG